rnacentral:rRNA from 1 species
GACGAACGCUGGCGGCGUGCUUAACACAUGCAAGUCGAACGGAAAGGCCUUUUCGGAGGUACUCGAGUGGCGAACGGGUGAGUAACACGUGGGUGAUCUGCCCUGCACUCUGGGAUAAGCCUGGGAAACUGGGUCUAAUACCGGAGAGGACCGCACUUUAGUGUGUGUGGUGGAAAGUUUUUUCGGUGUAGGAUGAGCCCGCGGCCUAUCAGCUUGUUGGUGGGGUAAUGGCCUACCAAGGCGGCGACGGGUAGCCGGACUGAGAGGUUGGUCGGCCACAUUGGGACUGAGAUGCGGCCCAGACUCCUACGGGAGGCAGCAGUGGGGAAUAUUGCACCAUGGGCGCAAGCCUGAUGCAGCGACGCCGCGUGGGGGAUGACGGCCUUCGGGUUGUAAACUCCUUUCGCCAGGGACGAAGCGUUUUGUGACGGUACCUGGAGAAGAAGCACCGGCUAACUACGUG